rnacentral:lncRNA from 1 species
AGCACGUUAAAAGCCAAUCUGGGGAGUUCCCGUCGUGGCGCAGUGGUUAACGAAUCCGACUAGGAACCAUGAGGUUGCGGGUUCGGUCCCUGCCCUUGCUCAGUGGGUUAACGAUCCAGUGUUGCCGUGAGCUGUGGUGUAGGUUGCAGAUGCGGCUCGGAUCCCGCAUUGCUGUGGCUCUGGCGGAGGCCGGUGGCUACAGCUCCGAUUCAACCCCUAGCCUAGGAACUUCCAUAUGCCGCGGGAGCGGCCCAAAGAAAUAGCAAAAAGACAAAAAAAAAAAAAAGCCAAUCUGCUGACGCUGGGUUGUGGUGAAGGAAGGUGCAGUGUUUAUUUGUAGAACCAGCAGCUCAUGCUCAAAAAACCUGAACUCUCCAGUGGCUUUCAGGGAAAGGUUUUAAAGGCAACAUCUGGGGUGAGGGUUGCAGCCUGUGGGCUUUCUUCCAGUUGGUUGGUGGUGAGGUGACAAGGUGACAUCUCGGGAAUCUUAAUUGUCAGCCUUCUGGUUCCAACUGGUCUAGGGUCCCUGUGCUUAGGUAGUCCCCAUCCUCCACCUGUGGGGAUCUCAGCUCCUGUAAAACAACUCAGAAAUUGUUAGGUAUAAUCCCUUGAGGGGGAACUAGGACUCCAUUUCAUCAUUUUUGUUAAAGCUGUCAGUGCUUUUCUUGCUUGACUGCGUUGUCCCUUUUUUUCCCUGCAUCCCUCAUUUCCCCAAUUAGUAACUGCCUGAGUCUGCUUUUUGGAACCCCCCCAGAGGCCUGGGAGACUGAGGCAUUUUUCUACAGGCAAGAACUAGGGGACAGGGGUUGAGGGGCUUUACUACUGGGAGGGUCCAGCGAGGUCUUGCUUGGUUUCAGCUCCUUCUCUGAUGUGUCUCAGUUCUGAGGGGAGUGGGGCAGGACCAGAAGGAAAAUGAAGUUCUGGUGAGAAAGGUUAAUCAUAAACUUGGCAGGGGAGCUUGGUUUUCAGGGAACUCCUAAACAUCCUUAACAGUGGUUGUCUUACAAAGCUAAAGCACUGCAGAGGUGUGUAGCACUUGCUUGGCCUUCAGGUGGUUCCACAGCCACAAGAACACUAUCUGCUCUUCUCAGGUUACCCUGCCCCUGGGACUAGAAUUGUCAAUAACUGUCUGGCACCCGACUUCCAAGUUCCAGCCCAGGCAUCCUUGUUUUCAGUGAACUGGGCCCACCCAGAGUGAGGCGGGCAAGUCAGAGCACAGCCCAGCAGCUGUGAAAUAGUCCCUGCGAAACGUUUACCUUCAGGGAGUCGCCAUGGGUUUGCUCUUUGUGGGCUUUCUGUCAGUUCUCACUUGCAGGACAGGAAUGUGUGGCAAACGCAUGCCCCUUCCAGGGACACCUCUCCUCCCCAGGGGGUAACGCUCUCUUAUUUGACUGGGAAAGGAGCAGUCAGGAGAGAAUGUCUGUGCUCUCCCAGCAUCUCAGCUGUCAGGCCGCUGAUAGCUUUAGCCUGUGGUCAUGGUGCCAUGGCAGCCUCAUGGCUUUUGCCUGGAGCAGCUCUGCCCUUGUGCCUAGAGUCAUUGGUCUCGCCCCAUCAGUUUACAGACAGCUGUAAUAGCUCCUAUUUGGAAAGACAAACAACAGAGUCAUGACCACUGAGCCCUACUGAAACUGCACAACUCAGAUUGGGACCUGAACCCAUGUUUUUUUGUUUUUUUCUUUUUUCUUUUUAGGGCCAACCCUGCGGCAUGUGGAAGUUCUCAGGCCUACACCACAGCCACAGCAAUGCAGGAUCUGAGCCACAUCCAGGGCCUAUGCCACAGCUUGUGACAACGCCAGAUUCUUAAUCCACUGACUGAGGCCGGGGAUUGGACGCACAUCCUCAUGGUUCUUAACCUGCUGAGCCACAACAAGAACGCCUGAACCCAGUUUUUUAAUUAAAACCACUCACCUAGUCUCAGGAAUUACUGAAGUUCAGGUUCUCGGUGUCUCAGAGCAGAAGGAGUUCAGUGAGAGCUAAAGUGAUAGGUAAGAAGUAGAUUUAUUGAGAGAGAGUGUGUGGGCGUCUCAGAAGGCUAGAAGCCCCGAAAUAUGAGGGUGGCGGGUAUUUAUGGACUGGGCAAUUUCACAGGCUACUGAGCAGGAGGAUUAUUCCAACCAUUUCAGGAAAGGGCAGGGGUUUCCAGGAACUGGGCCCGUCUACUUUUUUGCCCUGUAGUGGUCACCUCAGAGCUGUCCUGGCACCUGUGGGCCUGUCAUUUAGAUGCUAAUGUAUUACAAUGAGUGCAUAAUGAGGCUCGAGGUCUGCUGGAAGCUGAAUUUUCUACCAUCUUGGCCCUAGUUGGUUCUAACCAGUUUUUGUUAUGUCUUCAAGGGUUCUGUCAUUCUUUUAAAGGUUUUGCCCUGCUCUUUUCCCUUUUGUUUCACUCCAGCCACCACCUCACGUCUCUGCUUCCUUUUACAGCAGAAUUCCUCAAAGGUGAUGUUUAUAUGCAUUGUCCCCAUGCCUCCAGUUCUGUCUCAAACCUCCUCAGCUCCUGUUUCUCCACCAGAGGUGCUCUUCUAAGUCAGCUGUAAGAUUUAGGAGGAGAGGAGAGAAGCUGGAUGGCGUUGCUGUAGUAAAUUGUUUAUUACCAGGACCCUGUGUAGGCAGAAUGGGUGGUGACUAACAUACCGUGUACCUCUAUUGACGUGGUGGCUGCGAGCACUGCUCUGGUGCGGCUGCUCCACUGCUCCUUUGUUUUGUGAUCUUAAACAUGUCCAUCUGUUGCAGGAAGGGUCCCCUGGAAGUGGCUGAGCGUGGGCUCUUGUCUAACCCUGGAAGUGAACUGAGGAGACACACGUGCUGACAAAGCAGAAGACUUUAUGGGAAGGCGGCCUGGGCGGAGAGCAGCAGGGGGAGGGAACCAGGAGACCUGCUCGGCACGUGCCCCUGCAGCCUCAGGUUUUAUGGGAAUGGGGUUCGUUUCUGGAUUGUCUCUGGCCCGUCAUCUUGCUCGGCCCAUACUUGGUCUGGCCCAGGGUCCUUCUUGGUGGCCUGUGUAUCUCUCAGCCAAGGAUCCUGGGAGGUUGGUGGUCUCCUCCCUCUUACUGUCCCCUUCCCAAAUCCUCCAGUUUAGUCUUCAGGGCAGCACUCCGUUCCUUAUCAGGGCCUCCGGUUGUGAGACAAGUCGUGCAAGUGACGACUACCGUGCCUGGCCAAGGUGGGUGGUUUCAGUCUUGAACACAUCAGCACUGAGCAUCAGUCCCACAUGCACUGUGAGCCCAGGGAAUGUUCUGCCCACCUCAGAGGAUGGAGGACCAAAAGAAAUAAUGUCUGUGAAAGCAUUUUAAGAGCUGUAAAGUGGGAGUUCCCUUCAUGCCUUAGCGGUUAACGAACCAGACUGGGAUCCAUGAGGGUGCAGUUUCGAUCAGUGGUUUAAGGUUCCACCGUUGCCGUGAGCUGUGGUGUAGGGCGCAGAUGCAGCUUGGAUCCCACAUUGUUGUGGCUGUAGUGUAAGGCCAGCAGGUGUAGCUUCAAUUCAACCCCUAGCCUGGAAACUUCCAUAUCUCUAAAAAGAAGAAGAAAAAAAAAAA